rnacentral:ncRNA from 17 species
AUAAUUUCAUAACGAUACACUCAUAUAAUCGCGGGAAUAUGGCCUGCAAGUUUCUACCGGACUGCCGUUAACAGUCUGACUAUGGGUGAGCAAUGGGAGGCA